GUUAGAUGUUAGAUUUUGUAAUGUGUUUGCAAGAUGGUUGUUUGCCGUUUGAAUAGACAAUGAAAUUUUGAGCUUAUUUUACACAAGAAAGGAACGAAAAAAUAUAUGCAUUCUUUUUGACCUCCUCACCAGUCUAGGGACUGUUUUCAGCGAUUGUGUGUUUGUCCGAAUCCUUCUGAACGUUCUAUAUUUGCUCAAAUGACUGUGGGUCUUAAAAUGUUGUAUUCAAGUAUUGAUGAUAAAGCAAGCAAGAAACAAAUAAAUAAGUCGUUGUGUCUCAACAGCAGUUUUAAAGAAGAUAAGUUUAAGCCAGUAAUUGGAGCUGUCCUUGCUGGUCGGUACAAAGUUAUCGCAAAUGUUGGUGAAGGUCAGUCAUCUGUGAUGGUACAAGCAGAGGAUACAUAUCAUCCAAGGCAGCAAUAUGUAGCAAUAAAGAUAUUACACAAAAGUUAUGCCAAUUUGGGACCUCCGG